UACGAAGGGUGCAAGCGUUGUUCGGAUUUAUUGGGCGUAAAGCGCGCGCAGGCGGAUCAGCAAGUCAGGUGUGAAAUCUCGGGGCCUAACCCCGAAAGUGCGCCUGAAACUGCUAGUCUAGAAUAUCGGAGGGGACAGGGGAAUUUCACGUGUAGGGGUAAAAUCCGUAGAGAUGUGAAGGAACACCGGAGGCGAAGGCGCCUGUCUGGACGAUUAUUGACGCUGAGGCGCGAAAGCGUGGGGAGCAAACAGG
rnacentral:rRNA from 1 species